AUGGGGUGACUGCGUACCUUUUGUAUAAUGGGUCAGCGACUUAUAUUCUGUAGCAAGGUUAACCGAAUAGGGGAGCCGAAGGGAAACCGAGUCUUAACUGGGCGUUAAGUUGCAGGGUAUAGACCCGAAACCCGGUGAUCUAGCCAUGGGCAGGUUGAAGGUUGGGUAACACUAACUGGAGGACCGAACCGACUAAUGUUGAAAAAUUAGCGGAUGACUUGUGGCUGGGGGUGAAAGGCCAAUCAAACCGGGAGAUAGCUGGUUCUCCCCGAAAGCUAUUUAGGUAGCGCCUCGUGAAUUCAUCUCCGGGGGUAGAGCACUGUUUCGGCAAGGGGGUCAUCCCGACUUACCAACCCGAUGCAAACUGCGAAUACCGGAGAAUGUUAUCACGGGAGACACACGGCGGGUGCUAACGUCCGUCGUGAAGAGGGAAACAACCCAGACCGCCAGCUAAGGUCCCAAAGUCAUGGUUAAGUGGGAAACGAUGUGGGAAGGCCCAGACAGCCAGGAUGUUGGCUUAGAAGCAGCCAUCAUUUAAAGAAAGCGUAAUAGCUCACUGGUCGAGUCGGCCUGCGCGGAAGAUGUAACGGGGCUAAACCAUGCAC
rnacentral:rRNA from 1 species